GCGAGCGGCGGACGGGUGAGUAACACGUGGGUAACCUGCCCAAGAGACUGGGAUAACACCUGGAAACAGAUGCUAAUACCGGAUAACAACACUAGACGCAUGUCUAGAGUUUGAAAGAUGGUUCUGCUAUCACUCUUGGAUGGACCUGCGGUGCAUUAGCUAGUUGGUAAGGUAACGGCUUACCAAGGCAAUGAUGCAUAGCCGAGUUGAGAGACUGAUCGGCCACAUUGGGACUGAGACACGGCCCAAACUCCUACGGGAGGCAGCAGUAGGGAAUCUUCCACAAUGGACGAAAGUCUGAUGGAGCAACGCCGCGUGAGUGAAGAAGGGUUUCGGCUCGUAAAGCUCUGUUGGUAGUGAAGAAAGAUAGAGGUAGUAACUGGCCUUUAUUUGACGGUAAUUACUUAGAAAGUCACGGCUAACUACGUGCCAGCAGCCGCGGU
rnacentral:rRNA from 1 species